GUCCCCUUCGUCUAGCCAGGUCAGGACAUCGCUUUUUCAUGGCGCAAACACGGGUUCAAAUCCCGUAGGGGAUA
rnacentral:tRNA from 1 species